GCGUGCGCAGGCGGUUUUGUAAGACUGUCGUGAAAUCCCCGGGCUCAACCUGGGAAUGGCGAUGGUGACUGCAAGGCUAGAGUUUGGCGAGAGGGGGGUAGAAUUCCACGUGUAGCAGUGAAAUGCGUAGAUAUGUGGAGGAACACCGAUGGCGAAGGCAGCCCCCUGGGGUCAAAACUGACGCUCAUGCACGAAAGCGUGGGGAGCAAACAGGAUUAGAUACCCCGUGU
rnacentral:rRNA from 1 species